GCCGCUGUAGCCCAAUUGGUAGAGGCGUCUCGCUUAGAACGAGAAGGUUGGGGGUUCGACUCCCUCCAGCGGCAC
rnacentral:tRNA from 1 species